CCUACGGGAGGCUGCAGUGGGGAAUAUUGGACAAUGGGGGCAACCCUGAUCCAGCCAUGCCGCGUGUGUGAAGAAGGCCCUCGGGUUGUAAAGCACUUUCAGUGAGGAAGAACGCCUGGUGGUUAAUACCCAUCAGGAAAGACAUCACUCACAGAAGAAGCACCGGCUAACUCCGUGCCAGCAGCCGCGGUAAUACGGAGGGUACGAGCGUUAAUCGGAAUUACUGGGCGUAAAGCGCGCGUAGGUGGCUUGAUAAGCCGGUUGUGAAAGCCCCGGGCUCAACCUGGGAACGGCAUCCGGAACUGUCAAGCUAGAGUGCAGGAGAGGAAGGUAGAAUUCCCGGUGUAGCGGUGAAAUGCGUAGAGAUCGGGAGGAAUACCAGUGGCGAAGGCGGCCUUCUGGACUGACACUGACACUGAGGUGCGAAAGCGUGGGUAGCAAACAGGAUUAGAUACCCGAGUAGUC
rnacentral:rRNA from 1 species